rnacentral:lncRNA from 1 species
UCUUUCUCCUCAAACCCUCUGUGAACAGGCAAGUGGCUGCGGGAGCAGUUGAGGAACUCUGGCCAGGGUUACUCUCCGGUGUGUCUCGGUGUGUCUCAAAGGCCCUCAGCCUGGUGUGCCCCCGUAGCUGCCACCCAAGCAGGAAACCGUUGGCUCACCUG